GGUGCUGUGGGGAGAAGGGUGCCUCAGACAUGGCUGGAAAGGUGCAUGAUGACAGCCUUUAGGGGAAAGACAUGGACAUGGCUCUGUAAUUUUGAAACAUUCUUUGACCUAGAAAUCUCACCCUUUGGAAUUUAUCCCAUGGAAGCAAAUCCUCUAGUAUACAAAGGAUGGUUAUUGUUAAUAAUGGCAAAAAAUCGACUGCUCAUGGAUGAUGGAAAGAUAGAUAAUUUAUGGUAGAGCUAAAUCAAUAAAAUUUAGGAGUCAUUAGAAUGAAAAAGAACUAGAGUAGUUAAAUAGUAGAAAUCUCUGUGAAGUAUUACUGAAGGAGAAAAUCAAGGUGCAGAGAAGUCUGUAUAAAAUGAGCACAUUUGGGUAAAGCAAUAGCAAUUGUUUGAAUAUGCUUGAAUACCUGUUUGUGUUUAUGUGAGUGUGUAAAUGAGCAGACGAAGAUACAUUUGUGUCUGUGUGUGCUUGUAUAAGCAAGGGUAAGAGAGACUACUUACCACAUUGUUAACCUCAAUUUCCUUGGAUUCACUUCUGGAAAAGGACUGGGGGGGAGGAGAGCUAGAACAUGCAGGAAGAGUGGACUUAGAAAGCACGGGUGAUAUGUGUUUCCACUUUAGUAGUGUUAUAUAUGAGUCAGUCUAGAUAGUGUACACAGUAAUUGUUCUCAUCUAUUUAAAUGCUUUAUGUGUAAAUAUGAGUUCAAUCUUAGAAGACCCAAAAAGGUAGUGUUAGUGUCAUACCUAAUGACCUUCAGGGAAUCAGCAAUUUACAGAGCACUGUGGGUAGAGUAUGACACAAUUUCCGUUAAAGCAAACGAACCAGGGGAUCUACUUGUGAACCUGUGACUGUGUGUAUGUGUCCCAGCUGAGAAAUGUAGGGAAAGAUACACAUGUGUCUAUUAACUUUGGACACCUUGGGGGUGCAGGACCAAAUUACAUAUGAGGGUGGGACCAUGAUUGUAACUUUUUCAUUAUACAAAUCUGUACCCUUAGAGGUGUUAUACAAAAGACUUUUAGAGCUUUGAAAGUUGAUAAACAUCAUCAUAGAUACAUUAUUUUAAAAACAUUUUGUUGGAUUUUUUUUGAACAGGGGGAAAAUAUCUUUAACAACAGACACAAAGAUUUUAAUCACUGGAAGAAGAGCACACCACAGACUGCUCAACAGUCAGAUCCAGCAGAUUUCACGCUUGUUCUUGGAGACAAUGAGCUCUUCUGGUCUCUACACCUGGAAAUGACCAGCGAGAAUUUUGUAAGGGUCCAUGAAGUUACUCCUCAAACGUUUCUUGCAGGUACAUGUCUACAGAUAAAGGAAGAAGGCUGGACACCACAUGCAGUUCACUAGUCAAAGAAUUGAAGAAAAAGGUCGACUCAGAGGAAAGAAGCAAACAGAGGGCAGGCUUCUAAACCCAGAGAGAACAGCAAGAACACAGUUACAGAUACCAGAAGAGCACAUUGGCUCCAGGAACAUGCAAGAAAUCCACUGAUUGUGAUUAUUACUGUCUGUGGUAUGCUCUCUUUUCAGUGAUUAAAAUCUUUGUCUGUCACAGAGAAUUUUCACCUAUUUAAAAAUAUAUGUCUAUGUCACUUACUGAUUUCCAAAGCUAUGAAAUUCUUUUUCAUUACAUGUUUAAGAAUACAAAUUUGUAUAAUGAAAAAUUACAUGCAGAGUCCCACCCUCAUGUAUAUAUUGCUCCUGCUCCCCCGAGGUAUCCAACGUUAAUAGACACAUGUGUACCCUUCCCUAGGUUUCUCUGCUGGGACAUGUAUACACAGUCACAGGUACACAAGUAGAUCUGCUGGGGUGUUUGCUUUUAUGGAAACUUGGUCACACUCUACCCACAUUGCUCUUGCCCCUUCUUUCACUUGACAUUCUAUCUUGAUUCUCUGUAAGUCAUUAGAUAUGGCACUAACUCUACAUUUUUAUGUCUUCUAAGUUACACACAUAAAUUAAAUAGAUAAUAACAAUUAUAGUACACUUUAUCUAGACUUAGACAUGUUGUUAGGUGCUAUCGAGU